rnacentral:lncRNA from 1 species
GACUACAGGACCGCGACCCGGCGCUGCCUAAGAACUGUUUUUAAACGUGAAAGCCACGGCUAUCAUUUGCUUUUUGCUCUGCUCUUCAUCUUCUGGAUAAACCUCGUAACACACUGCUUGUUUUGGGUGGUAGUCUGCUGCCUACGCCCCGUCAGACAAGUGGCCUGAGUCCCCCGCAACCCCUGCAGGUCCGGCCGCCGGCGCCAAGCCUCAAGGCAUCCAAGCCAGGAACGAUCGCGGUCAGCUCUGCCACGGAACAUGUGCAAGACCCGGCAGCAGGUUCCGGGGGAGGCGAAUUGAUUUCACAACGGUCGAGAAGGAGGACCCCGCCCACUUCGUCAUUUCUCGGAAGCCCAGGGACUCGCCGGAAGAGCGGCUCAAAAGCCGGAAAACUGGCAAAUCCGAGUCUCCCGGCGCAUGCGCGGCGCAAUCGGCUUCGCGUGGUUGCAGUAGAGAGGAUCCCUCCGCCAGCCACUGCAUCCGGCGGCCGGAUCUAACUUACCCGCUAGCGUUUUACCCUUGCGCGGCCGUGGCGUAGGGCGGUCUUUUCCCUUGGUCCUCCGCGGCGCCGCCUCUUGUGACGUAAGCCGCAGAAUCCUCUGUCUUAGUUCGGCUCUAUUGCCGCGAGCUUGACUCUUCCUGGGUCUGAGGAAAAGUAAAAGUAAUUUUGUCAUUUCCUGAAACUUCAAGUUAAACCUUUAAGCUGUUCAUUUCCUAAAAGGGUGAAAACGCGGGCACCCCUCGAGCUAGUUCAUCGCCUUUUAACCUGUGAGUUCUGUUAAAAGGAAGUAACUGCAAAAUGUCUUCGCUGUUAGGUUUCUUUGGAAGUUUUGGGUUGUGUUCAUGCGUUCUCUCGGCGUGUGAACUGGGAGAAAGUGGAGUGCCAG